rnacentral:rRNA from 1 species
GACGAACGCUGGCGGCGUGCCUAACACAUGCAAGUAGGACGCAGUCUCGAACGGGUGAGUAACGCGUACGUAACUGACUAUUAGAGGGGGAUAACAAUUGGAAACGAUAGCUAAUUACGCUUACUAGUAGAAGGACCUGCGUUGUAUUAGCUAGUAGGUUGGGUAAGGGCCCACCUAGGCAACGAUACAUAGCCGACCUGAGAGGGUGAUCGGCCACACUGGGAAUGAGACAAGGCCCAGACUCCUACGGGAGGCAGCAGUAGGGAAUCUUCGGCAAUGGGGGGAACCCUGACCGAGCAACGCCGCGUGAGUGAAGAAGGUUUUCGGAUCGUAAAGCUCUGUUGUUAGGGAAGCGGUACUUAACCAGAAAGAGACGGCUAACUACGUGCCAGCAGCCGCGGUAAUAC